GGCGGACGGGUGAGUAAUACUUAGGAAUCUACCUAGUAGUGGGGGAUAGCACGGGGAAACUCGUAUUAAUACCGCAUACGACCUACGGGAGAAAGGGGGCAGUUUACUGCUCUCGCUAUUAGAUGAGCCUAAGUCGGAUUAGCUAGAUGGUGGGGUAAAGGCCUACCAUGGCGACGAUCUGUAGCUGGUCUGAGAGGAUGAUCAGCCACACCGGGACUGAGACACGGCCCGGACUCCUACGGGAGGCAGCAGUGGGGAAUAUUGGACAAUGGGGGAAACCCUGAUCCAGCCAUGCCGCGUGUGUGAAGAAGGCCUUUUGGUUGUAAAGCACUUUAAGCAGUGAAGAAGACUCCGUGGUUAAUACCCACGGACGAUGACAUUAGCUGCAGAAUAAGCACCGGCUAACUCUGUGCCAGCAGCCGCGGUAAUACAGAGGGUGCAAGCGUUAAUCGGAAUUACUGGGCGUAAAGGGAGCGUAGGUGGCUCUAUAAGUCAGA
rnacentral:rRNA from 1 species